rnacentral:rRNA from 1 species
UACGAAGGGGGCGAGCGUGGUUCGGAAUUACUGGGCGUAAAGGGCGCGUAGGCGGCGACUCAAGUUAGAUGUGAAAGUCCUGGGCUUAACCUGGGGACUGCAUUUGAUACUGGGUUGCUUGAAUUCGGGAGAGGAUAGCGGAAUUCCCAGUGUAGAGGUGAAAUUCGUAGAUAUUGGGAAGAACACCGGUGGCGAAGGCGGCUAUCUGGACCGACAUUGACGCUGAGGCGCGAAAGCGUGGGGAGCAAACAGG